rnacentral:rRNA from 1 species
CCCCUAGAUGUUCUGGGCCGCACGCGCGCUACACUGAACAGUUCAACAAGUCUUAACCUUGGCCGAUAGGUCUGGGUAAUCUUUGAACGCUGUUCGUGAUUGGGAUAGACCUUUGCAAUUAUGGGUCUUCAACGAGGAAUUCCUAGUAAACGCAAGUCAUCAGCUUGCAUUGAUUACGUCCCUGCCCUUUGUACACACCGCCCGUCGCACCUACCGAUUGAAUGGUCCGGUGAAAUCUCGGGACGGCGGGUUGGUCGCUUGCGUCCGACUGCUGAAACUUGAUUAAACCAUAUCAUUUAGAGGAAGGUGAAGUCGUAACA